rnacentral:rRNA from 1 species
GACGAACGCUGGCGGCGUGCUUAACACAUGCAAGUCGAACGGAAAGGCCCUGCUUUUGUGGGGUGCUCGAGUGGCGAACGGGUGAGUAACACGUGAGUAACCUGUCCUUGACUUUGGGAUAACUUCAGGAAACUGGGGCUAAUACCGGAUAGGAGCUCUUGCUGCAUGGGGUGGGUUGGAAAGUUUCGGCGGUUGGGGAUGGACUCGCGGCUUAUCAGCUUGUUGGUCGGGUAGGGGUUUACCAAGGCUUUGAAGGGUAGCCUGCCUGGGAGGGUAGCCGGCCACCAUGGGACUACGAUACGGACCAGACGCCUACCGGCGGCAGCGGUGGGGAGUCUGGCACAGUGGGGGCACGCCAGAUGCAGCGGCGUCGCGUGCGUGAUGACGGCCUUCGGGUUAUAAACCACUUUGUCCUGUGACGAAGCGUGAGUGACGGUAAUGGGUAAAAAAGCACCGGCUAACUACGUG